AAUGCAGACAGCGGAUGCCUUGGUACAAACUGCCGAAGAAGGACGCAUCUGGCGGCGAUACUCGUCGAGAAGGAGCCAAAAUCCUGUGAUCCGACGAUUUCCGAAUGGGGCAACCCAUCCCGAUUUAUCGGGAUAAUCAACAGUAAAUUCAUAGCUGUUGGUAGGAGACCUGGUGAACUGAAACAUCUUAGUAACCAGAGGAAAAGAAAAUACCAUGAUUCCCUAAGUAGCGGCGAGUGAAAGGGGAACAGCCUAAACCACGAUUUAUCGUGGUGUUGUAGGGUUUACCACAACAGACAGUAGAGAAUAGAAGAAUGUCUCGGAAUAGACAACCAUAGAAGGUGAAAGUCCUGUAUUUGAAAUUCAAAACUGCUGGGUGAAUUCCUGAGUACUAUGAGGCACGAUUAAACCUUGUAGGAAUCUGGGGCGACCACGCUCUAAGGCUAAAUACAGUUUGUGACCGAUAGUGAACUAGUACCGCGAGGGAAAGGUGAAAAGUACCCCGGGAGGGGAAUGAAAAGUACCUGAAACUGUUUGCUGACAAACAGACGAAGUUCCGACUUGUCGGAAUGACGUUGUGCCUAUUGAAGAAUGAACCGGCGAGUUGAAUUGUUACUGCGAGCUUAACUCCGAUUAAUCGGAGGUAGGCAGAGCGAAAGCGAGUCCUAACUGGGCGUUAAGUAGUAGCAAUCAGACCCGAAACUGAGUGAGCUAACCAUGAGCAGGGUGAACCCCGAUGACCAUCGGGGGAAGGCCCGAACUCGUCAACGCUGCAAUGUUGUGAGAUGACUUGUGGUUAGAGGUAAUAUGCCUAUCGAACUCAGAGAUAGCUGGUUCUCCCCGAAAUAUAUUUAGGUAUAGCCUUAAGUGACUCAGCGUAGAGGUAGAGCACUGAAUGGGUGUCGGUGGCGCAAGCCAUCGCACUCAAUCAAACUCCGAAUGCUACGCCUCCCGACUUGUCGGGAUUGACUUAGGAGUCAGAGAUUGACGGCUAAGCGCCAGUCUCUAAAGGGAAACAACCCAGACUUUCGUCUAAGGCCUCUAAAUAUCCGUUAAGUGUUAAAGGAUGUUAAAUUUCAUAGACACCCAGGAGGUUGGCUUAGAAGCAGCCAUCCUUUAAAGAAAGCGUAACAGCUCACUGGUCGAUGAAGUUUAGCGCCGACAAUAUACCGAGGCUCAAACGGAUUGCCGAAGACAAAGAAUUUCAUGUUUUUUACAUGGAUUUGGUAGGGGAGCGUUUCAUAUGCAGUGAAGUUUUACCGUAAGGUGGGAUGGAGCGUAUGGAAGUGAGAAUGCCGGUAUGAGUAGCGCUUUUUUUGGUGGGAAUCCAAAACGUCGAAAGCCCAAGGUUUCCGUCCCAACGUUGUUCGGGGACGGGUUAGUCGGUCCUAAGGCAAGUCUUAUGAAAGUAAGGGUAGCUUGAUGGACAAGCCGUUUAUAUUCGGCUACAAGGGUUAGUUCGUUAUUAGUUAAGGAUAGACGGGAGUGGAAUAAUCGUGUCACCUCCACAGGUGAUUUAAACCAUGAAGCAGUUUUGACUGGGAAAUCCGUCGAAAUGUUUAACUAAGUGGUGAUGGAGAGUUUUAUACGCAAGUACAAAGCAAUACGAUGAGGUUCAGUUUCUGAAAAAAUAUUCGUAACGAGAACUAAUUUUUACCGUACCGCAAACCGACUCUGGUGGGCUGGUAGAGUAUACCAAGACGAUCAGGUAACAGAUGCUUAAGGAACUCGGCAACAAAAACUGGGUGUAAGUUUGCAAGAUACCCUCCCUAAUCAGUCUCCGCAAGGAGAGGAGAAUUAGGGCGCAGUUAACGACGCUUACCGACUGUUUAACUAAAACACAGCUCUCUGCAAACCCGUAAGGGGAUGUAUAGGGGGUGACGCCUGCCCAGUGCUCGAAGGUUAAAAUCUCGAGUGAUUCCGAUUUAUCGGAUGAGUUCGGGGUAUAAGCCCGAGUGAACGGCAGCAGUAACUAUAACUGUUCUAUGGUAGCGAAGUUCCUUGUCGGGUAAGUUCCGACCCGCACGAAAGGCUGAACGAGUAAGCGACUGUCUUGAGCAUCUGCCUGGCGAAAUUGAAAUGGCUGUGAAGAUGCGGCCUACCUGUGCAUGGACAAAAAGACCCCGUGGAGCUUUACUGUAGUUUGACACUGGAACGGUGUUUUUGACUGUCGAGUGUAGGAGGGACCCCGAUUUAUCGGGGGACAAUGGAACACCUCUCUUCGAAAACGUCGAACCUAACUUUUAGCCACAAAAAAAUCUGGCAAAAGAACACUGUCUGAUGGGCAGUUUAACUGGGGAGGUUGCCUCCUAAAUUGUAACGGAGGCGUACAAAGGUACCCUACUUCCGGAUGGAAAUCGGAAGGAUAGCGCAAAAGUGUAAGGGUGCUUGACUGCGAGACGUACAGGUCGAGCAGAGACGAAAGUCGGUUUUAGUGAUCCUCUAGCACCAAGUGGUUUGGGCUAGGGCUUAACGGAUAAAAGUUACCCCGGGGAUAACAGGCUGAUCUUACCCAAGCGUCCACAGCGACGGUAAGGUUUGGCACCUCGAUGUCGGCUCAUCGCAUCCUGGGGCUGGAGAAGGUCCCAAGGGUCCGGCUGUUCGCCGGUUAAAGCGGUACGCGAGCUGGGUU
rnacentral:rRNA from 1 species